ACUAAUUUUAUUUGGGUAGUAGAAUAAAUUAAAACCUCUUAAAUUUGGCGGUUGUUGUAAAUUAGAGAAACUCGUUUUAUAAUCGACAAUCCCCGUUACUUUUCACUUACCCUAAAAGCCAAUAUACCUCCGUUUAAGAAUUAAAACAAUAAUAUAUUCCAAAUCAAAACCCUAACAAAAUCAGGUCAAGGUGUAGCCCACGAGUAAGAACAAAUAAGUUACAUAUAAAACCAAUUUUAUGAUUUUCAUCAAAAGAGACAUAUGAAACAGAAUCUAAAAACACAAUUUAAUUAAAAAUUAAGUUUUCAACAUCAACACAACAAUGU
rnacentral:rRNA from 1 species